rnacentral:rRNA from 4 species
UUAAGCGACUAAGCGUACACGGUGGAUGCCCUGGCAGUCAGAGGCGAUGAAGGACGUGCUAAUCUGCGAUAAGCGUCGGUGAGGUGAUAUGAACCGUUAUAACCGGCGAUUUCCGAAUGGGGAAACCCAGUGUGUUUCGACACACUAUCAUUAACUGAAUCCAUAGGUUAAUGAGGCGAACCGGGGGAACUGAAACAUCUAAGUACCCCGAGGAAAAGAAAUCAACCGAGAUUCCCCCAGUAGCGGCGAGCGAACGGGGAGGAGCCCAGAGCCUGAAUCAGUGUGUGUGUUAGUGGAAGCGUCUGGAAAGGCGUGCGAUACAGGGUGACAGCCCCGUACACAAAAAUGCACAUAUUGUGAGCUCGAUGAGUAGGGCGGGACACGUGGUAUCCUGUCUGAAUAUGGGGGGACCAUCCUCCAAGGCUAAAUACUCCUGACUGACCGAUAGUGAACCAGUACCGUGAGGGAAAGGCGAAAAGAACCCCGGCGAGGGGAGUGAAAAAGAACCUGAAACCGUGUACGUACAAGCAGUGGGAGCCUCUUAAUGGGGUGACUGCGUACCUUUUGUAUAAUGGGUCAGCGACUUAUAUUCUGUAGCAAGGUUAACCGAAUAGGGGAGCCGAAGGGAAACCGAGUCUUAACUGGGCGUUAAGUUGCAGGGUAUAGACCCGAAACCCGGUGAUCUAGCCAUGGGCAGGUUGAAGGUUGGGUAACACUAACUGGAGGACCGAACCGACUAAUGUUGAAAAAUUAGCGGAUGACUUGUGGCUGGGGGGGAAAGGCCAAUCAAACCGGGAGAUAGCUGGUUCUCCCCGAAAGCUAUUUAGGUAGCGCCUCGUGAAUUCAUCUCCGGGGGUAGAGCACUGUUUCGGCAAGGGGGUCAUCCCGACUUACCAACCCGAUGCAAACUGCGAAUACCGGAGAAUGUUAUCACGGGAGACACACGGCGGGUGCUAACGUCCGUCGUGAAGAGGGAAACAACCCAGACCGCCAGCUAAGGUCCCAAAGUCAUGGUUAAGUGGGAAACGAUGUGGGAAGGCCCAGACAGCCAGGAUGUUGGCUUAGAAGCAGCCAUCAUUUAAAGAAAGCGUAAUAGCUCACUGGUCGAGUCGGCCUGCGCGGAAGAUGUAACGGGGCUAAACCAUGCACCGAAGCUGCGGCAGCGACACUAUGUGUUGUUGGGUAGGGGAGCGUUCUGUAAGCCUGUGAAGGUGGCCUGUGAGGGUUGCUGGAGGUAUCAGAAGUGCGAAUGCUGACAUAAGUAACGAUAAAGCGGGUGAAAAGCCCGCUCGCCGGAAGACCAAGGGUUCCUGUCCAACGUUAAUCGGGGCAGGGUGAGUCGACCCCUAAGGCGAGGCCGAAAGGCGUAGUCGAUGGGAAACAGGUUAAUAUUCCUGUACUUGGUGUUACUGCGAAGGGGGGACGGAGAAGGCUAUGUUGGCCGGGCGACGGUUGUCCCGGUUUAAGCGUGUAGGCUGGUUUUCCAGGCAAAUCCGGAAAACCAAGGCUGAGGCGUGAUGACGAGGCACUACGGUGCUGAAGCGACAAAUGCCCUGCUUCCAGGAAAAGCCUCUAAGCAUCAGGUAACAUCAAAUCGUACCCCAAACCGACACAGGUGGUCAGGUAGAGAAUACCAAGGCGCUUGAGAGAACUCGGGUGAAGGAACUAGGCAAAAUGGUGCCGUAACUUCGGGAGAAGGCACGCUGAUAUGUAGGUGAAGCGACUUGCUCGUGGAGCUGAAAUCAGUCGAAGAUACCAGCUGGCUGCAACUGUUUAUUAAAAACACAGCACUGUGCAAACACGAAAGUGGACGUAUACGGUGUGACGCCUGCCCGGUGCCGGAAGGUUAAUUGAUGGGGUUAGCGGCAACGCGAAGCUCUUGAUCGAAGCCCCGGUAAACGGCGGCCGUAACUAUAACGGUCCUAAGGUAGCGAAAUUCCUUGUCGGGUAAGUUCCGACCUGCACGAAUGGCGUAAUGAUGGCCAGGCUGUCUCCACCCGAGACUCAGUGAAAUUGAACUCGCUGUGAAGAUGCAGUGUACCCGCGGCAAGACGGAAAGACCCCGUGAACCUUUACUAUAGCUUGACACUGAACAUUGAGCCUUGAUGUGUAGGAUAGGUGGGAGGCUUUGAAGUGUGGACGCCAGUCUGCAUGGAGCCGACCUUGAAAUACCACCCUUUAAUGUUUGAUGUUCUAACGUUGGCCCGUAAUCCGGGUUGCGGACAGUGUCUGGUGGGUAGUUUGACUGGGGCGGUCUCCUCCUAAAGAGUAACGGAGGAGCACGAAGGUUGGCUAAUCCUGGUCGGACAUCAGGAGGUUAGUGCAAUGGCAUAAGCCAGCUUGACUGCGAGCGUGACGGCGCGAGCAGGUGCGAAAGCAGGUCAUAGUGAUCCGGUGGUUCUGAAUGGAAGGGCCAUCGCUCAACGGAUAAAAGGUACUCCGGGGAUAACAGGCUGAUACCGCCCAAGAGUUCAUAUCGACGGCGGUGUUUGGCACCUCGAUGUCGGCUCAUCACAUCCUGGGGCUGAAGUAGGUCCCAAGGGUAUGGCUGUUCGCCAUUUAAAGUGGUACGCGAGCUGGGUUUAGAACGUCGUGAGACAGUUCGGUCCCUAUCUGCCGUGGGCGCUGGAGAACUGAGGGGGGCUGCUCCUAGUACGAGAGGACCGGAGUGGACGCAUCACUGGUGUUCGGGUUGUCAUGCCAAUGGCACUGCCCGGUAGCUAAAUGCGGAAGAGAUAAGUGCUGAAAGCAUCUAAGCACGAAACUUGCCCCGAGAUGAGUUCUCCCUGACUCCUUGAGGGUCCUGAAGGAACGUUGAAGACGACGACGUUGAUAGGCCGGGUGUGUAAGCGCAGCGAUGCGUUGAGCUAACCGGUACUAAUGAACCGUGAGGCUUAACCUU